rnacentral:rRNA from 1 species
CCGAUGACUCGGGGAUAGCCUUUCGAAAGAAAGAUUAAUACCCGAUGGCAUAGUUCUUCCGCAUGGUAGAACUAUUAAAGAAUUUCGGUCAUCGAUGGGGAUGCGUUCCAUUAGGUUGUUGGCGGGGUAACGGCCCACCAAGCCUUCGAUGGAUAGGGGUUCUGAGAGGAAGGUCCCCCACAUUGGAACUGAGACACGGUCCAAACUCCUACGGGAGGCAGCAGUGAGGAAUAUUGGUCAAUGGACGAGAGUCUGAACCAGCCAAGUAGCGUGAAGGAUGACUGCCCUAUGGGUUGUAAACUUCUUUUAUACGGGAAUAAAGUGAGGCACGUGUGCCUUUUUGUAUGUACCGUAUGAAUAAGGAUCGGCUAACUCCGUGCCAGCAGCCGCGGUAAUACGGAGGAUCCGAGCGUUAUCCGGAUUUAUUGGGUUUAAAGGGAGCGUAGGCGGACGCUUAAGUCAGUUGUGAAAGUUUGCGGCUCAACCGUAAAAUUGCAGUUGAUACUGGGUGUCUUGAGUACAGUAGAGGCAGGCGGAAUUCGUGGUGUAGCGGUGAAAUGCUUAGAUAUCACGAAGAACUCCGAUUGCGAAGGCACCCUGCUGGACUGUAACUGACGCUGAUGCUCGAAAGUGUGGGUAUCAAACAGGAUUAGAUACCCUGGUAGUCCACACAGUACACGAAGAAUACUCGCUGUUUGCGAUAUACAGUAAGCGGCC